UCCACCCACAAGGCGGAAGCGUAACACGUAACGUGUCAGGCGAGAGCCUGUGUGGGAGCGCAGAAACGAUACCCGUCCCGGUACCGUGUGACGAUGAUGGGAUGUUCUCCCGGGCGUCCCGGAUGGAGGGCUGGACGCGGGAUGAAACGGGCUCCCAUUGCGCUGUGAAAGGGGAUGUAGACGCCUAUGAGCUCCGCCUGAGGCGCGGGUUCCCCGAUUAGACAGAUGCUGCUCGGAACAGAAGGUGGGUUACGGCCGACACGC
rnacentral:RNase_P_RNA from 1 species